GAUGAACGCUAGCGGCAGGCUUAAUACAUGCAAGUCGAGGGGCAGCACGAAUAGCAAUAUUUGGUGGCGACCGGCGCACGGGUGCGUAACACGUAUACAAUCUACCUUAAACAGGGGGAUAGCCUUUCGAAAGAGAGAUUAAUACCCCGUAAUAAAUUGAAUGGCAUCAUUUGAUUUUGAAAGCUCCGGCGGUUUGAGAUGAGUAUGCGUCUGAUUAGCUAGUUGGUGAGGUAACGGCUCACCAAGGCGACGAUCAGUAGGGGAUCUGAGAGGACUAACCCCCACACUGGUACUGAGACACGGACCAGACUCCUACGGGAGGCAGCAGUAAGGAAUAUUGGUCAAUGGAGGCAACUCUGAACCAGCCAUGCCGCGUGCAGGAUGACGGCCCUAUGGGUUGUAAACUGCUUUUAUACAAGAGAAAACCCUGGUACGUGUACCAGGUUGAUAGUAUUGUAAGAAUAAGCAUCGGCUAACUUCGUGCCAGCA
rnacentral:rRNA from 1 species